UCAGGAAAACAGGUGGUGCAUGGUUGUCGUCAGCUCGUGUCGUGAGAUGUUAGGUUAAGUCCUAAAACGAGCGCAACCCUUGUCGUUAAUUGCCAGCAUGUAAUGAUGGGGACUUUAACGAGACUGCCAAUGAAAAAUUGGAGGAAGGUGGGGAUUACGUCAAAUCAUCAUGCCCCUUAUGAUCUGGGCUACAAACGUGAUACAAUGGUUGAUACAAAGAGUAGUGAAACGGAGUUUUAGCCAAUNUCAAAAAAUCAAUCUCAGUUCGGANGAAGU
rnacentral:rRNA from 1 species